CUUUAGCAAAUAAAAAUAGUGAAGACUCUUAACUUUAAUUCACCUUUUUUCAUCGCUCAGCUUUAAUCAAAUUAAUGUUUCGUAUAAGAACCUUUCAGAUCCCAGAUGGGAAUGACUAACACUGGUAAAUGCAUAUUUCUUCCCUCCUAGAAUUUGUCACUUUUACAUUCAUUUAGCCGGCAAAAUCAUCUGGAUACUAAUUGAAUAUUUCAUUUUGUUUUACUGCCCUAAUUAUCUUCAGUCAAAAUAUUGUACAUUUUUCCCACAAAGUUCCCCUGAAUUUUUCCUAAAUAACUGAUGCAGACAAAUUAGGAAA
rnacentral:lncRNA from 1 species